rnacentral:misc_RNA from 1 species
CACAGCAGAUGUUCGAUGC